AAUUAUCCAAACAGCUAUUACAUGCCGACUUACAGAAUUUGUUUUUGUCUGUUUGGUCCCUCCGGCCUCUGCCUCUUUUUCCAGUUUCUUUGGGGACGUGGAAGGUAUUCCAUAAUUGUCCGGUUGAUAAGAGCUAGCUUGAAUGUCAAUGCCAUCUGUUGCACACGCUGGAGCCGAUUCAGCCUCAUCUACAAACACAUCAAGGUUCUCGACUGGCAUUAGGGCUGUCAAAGUUAACGCGUUAAUGCGUACGAUUAAUUUAAAAUACUUAACACCGUUAAUUUUCUUUUCGCCGUUAACGCAACAUUUUUUUUUUUACCUCGGCGCCAUUCAGUAAGAAAUUGACUUUAGUGGGAGUUGACAGGAUCGUGCUACUAUCACACAUUUAUUGUUUAACAUUAACUUUAUUGGCGGUUGACUUGACCUGUGCGCUUCACAGGCAUUUUUUUCCAAUAUAUAAUUGGAAAGUUUGCAUUCAUGUCGUGAAUUGUGUUUACUCGGCACUAGUUUAACAACAACAGCCUAAAAAUGCGUUAGUAUGCUACACAUGAGUUUGUUCAAUGGAUGUGAGGAAAUGGGAAUAUCCCCAGUCUCACUACAAAAACACUUCAAACAGGAAUGCUAGCCAUCCCCAGCUCUGCUUCAUGAAUCCACCUACUAACAAUGCUUGUAGCAUGUUGUUAUACUACUACGUCUUCCUCUGGAACCUCAUUGCUGUUAUCCCUACAUUUCAGUUGCACAUGCCACCUUGCACCUUCAAUUUCAUACAUCCCACUUACAUUUCUUACACUUGCAACUUCUGGUUAGAUGCUAACUGCAUUUUUUUUUACUGUACUUGAAACUUGUUCAAUGUCAAUAAAGUCACAUCUAAUCUAA